GCACUGGUGGUUUAGUGGUAAAAUCCAUCGUUGCCAUCGAUGGGCCCCGUGUUCGAUUCACGGCCAGUGCA
rnacentral:tRNA from 1 species